CUGAAGCCACUCGGAACAUGGAACUUUGCGACAUCAGCUUGAGCUGAGUAUCAGACCAUAGCAACUGGAACCUGAGUCCUUCCUGAGUCUACCAGGAUAAAUUUCCAAGAUGAAGUCUAGCUCCAGAAGUUUUCAGAGAGACUUGCAAACAAGCCGAGCCCACCUGCGGUCCUCAAAGGCAUCCUCACAUUAAAAGGGCUGGUCUAUAUAAUUAACCUUGAGCUUAAGAAGAACUCUAAGCUGUAGCUCCCAUGAUUCAUAUUCAAGGUAUCAUGAGGAUACGAGGUUCUGGCCCACAGAUAUAUGCUUUUAUGGGACCACAGAUAUAUGCUAUUACUAAAGCUACACUUGCAAGACACAAAAACAUGAGCUUCCCAUAGGAGAGAGGAGAGGCAGGUCCAACUUCCUGCUAAAAUCGGAAGAGAUCGAAAAUGAACACAGCAAACCACCAAUGAAAAUUUACCACCAAUGAAAAUUCAGAUCUGGGACGCAAACCAGUAGUGGGACAAACACAAAGCAGGACAGUUGACCUUGGUAGCUUGUAUGAGGGUUUCCAUUACUAUCCCUAAUCAUCCACAGAAUGAAGAAUAUAAAUCUGAAGACAUUUCUACUGCUUUUAAAAACAGUUGGCAUAUGAACAUCAUCAUUGCAGAAACUAUGAGUAAUAAUGGGAUGAUCACCCAAGUAAAUGAAGCAAAGAUCAAAAACGAGGCAUGAGGCAGCCACAUCCACUCCUUCCUCUUGAAAAUUUAAAUGAAUACUCCUUGAGAGCAAACUACAAAAUGCUAACUUUGAAGUGUUGAGUGGCAGAAAGAAUUAUGGGUUAUUGUACUGUCAAAAUGCCAGACAGCUGUAUGUUGAGUUGCUGCGUUAUUUAGACAAUCAGAAACUUGGAAGCUAAUGUGACAUAUUUCUUUUUGGUGUGAAAGCUCUUGACACGUGUCAUGAUAAUUUCUAAAGGGACAAAAUGUUAUAUAAAAGACACAAUGCCUUCAGGACCUUCAGGAGGUGGCCUCCUAGGUAGAACAUUCCUUAAAAAGGGGGAUAGGACAGGAAACACCUGGACUCUCCAGAGAUUGGCACCAUUUUUUUUCCUGCUCAGACAGCAUGGAACACCCAGCCUCCUGUCUGCAUUGAGCAUGCCCAAGACAUACUGUUCAAGUCAGGUGAUGGAACACAGGCUGAACUUACCAGAGAUGAAGCCCACAGCAAUAAAGCAGGCUGAACUAUGCAGAGGGGCUAAACCAUUCCUAUAUAAGAAUCUCUUGGGCUAAGGUUGCUCCCCACUCAUCUCCAAUAUGAGUGGUGAGGUAUCUGAAGUCCUCAACACUCCAAGUACCUGCCAUCAUAGCUGCCCUGCCUUAAGAAAAAAAUUGGAAUCUCAGCCAGGUUACCAGAGCUCAGCCCUGAGCAGUCAUACCCACACACACAUACCAGUCUUCAGAAGAGCUACUUACCCAUAGUUCCUCAGUCCUGAUCUCUACCACAUCUCUCAUCCUGGUCUCAGCAGCCUCUGGCAUUUCCCAAGCACACAGUUCACCAAACUGGACUAUUUCCUCUUUAUUAUCUACACAAAUAUUCUUAAUUAUUUCUCCUCCAACCCGAAGUACUUAUUUCUUAUUUAUGGGUGUAGCAGAGCAGGGUUAACAAGUACCAAGGAGAUUUCAAAGACAAACUGCUGGUAGGGCCUGCCAGGAGCUAAGAUUCAUAAUGAAACUACAAAUUCUGGAGACCCAUUUUUUACUGUCUGCCAUGGCAAGUAUCUAAAAUUAAAUGCUAAGCCGAAAUCUGUCCUGGAGUCUGACACACAGCAGUUAAGGUAAACAAUCUCUGAAAUUAAAAACAGAUUCUAGAUAAUAAAUAAGUCCUUGUAUGUCUCACUCUGAUAACAGAUACCUCUGCCUGAUAAAUCAAAGGCCCAGAAGGAGAAAAUGAAAGCACCGGGCUGCUUCUGAAGGUGUAGAAGCUGAUGAAAGGUACCAACAGGAGAAAAGUAAACAUGAAAAAAUUAUCAUAAUAAGCGUGAGCUUGUGAACAUAAACUGAUGCAAGCCAGAACCCUCAGGUCAGUGGCACUGAGCAGAAGCCUGUGAUAUUGGAUGCUUGGACUUUGUGGGAGAAUGGCUGGCUGAAACCAUCUCCACAUGGAGGAGUAAAGAGAAGGCAACAAGAGCUAGCCUGUUGAUUGGACACAUGAAAAUGUUUUGAAAUUGAAGAACAUGGUAUUGGAGAGUGACACCUCUCUACUGAGAAACAAGCAAAGCUAGUAGCCUUUACAUAGACACAGAGAAGAACUAGAUAGACACACACAGAGGACAUAAGGACAAACGUAGCGUUUCUGCUUAACAGUAUUAAAACAGCACGGACAACAAUGUGAGAAGAUACAGUUUUCCUAAGAGACGGAGAAAAUCCAGAAGAGAGCAAAGAUCUUCCUUGUAAUAUCUAACUACGACUGGGCUGGCAGUGUGUUCUAGGAUGGCCACUGGUC
rnacentral:lncRNA from 1 species